CGCUAUCACUCCUACGGGGAGGCAGCGAUAGGGAAUACUUCCACAAUGGGCGCAAGCCUGAUGGAGCAACACCGCGUGAGUGAAGAAGGGUUUCGGCUCGUAAAGCUCUGUUGUUAAAGAAGAACACGUAUGAGAGUAACUGUUCAUACGUUGACGGUAUUUAACCAGAAAGUCACGGCUAACUACGUGCCAGCAGCCGCGGUAAUACGUAGGUGGCAAGCGUUAUCCGGAUUUAUUGGGCGUAAAGAGAGUGCAGGCGGUUUUCUAAGUCUGAUGUGAAAGCCUUCGGCUUAACCGGAGAAGUGCAUCGGAAACUGGAUAACUUGAGUGCAGAAGAGGGUAGUGGAACUCCAUGUGUAGCGGUGGAAUGCGUAGAUAUAUGGAAGAACACCAGUGGCGAAGGCGGCUACCUGGUCUGCAACUGACGCUGAGACUCGAAAGCAUGGGUAGCGAACAGGAUUAGAUACCCUGGUAG
rnacentral:rRNA from 1 species